rnacentral:rRNA from 1 species
UACAGAGGUCCCAAGCGUUGUUCGGAUUCAUUGGGCGUAAAGGGUGCGUAGGCGGCGCGGUAAGUCGGGUGGGAAAUCUCGGAGCUUAACUCCGAAACUGCAUUCGAUACUGCCGUGCUUGAGGACUGGAGAGGAGACUGGAAUUUACGGUGUAGCGGUGAAAUGCGUAGAUAUCGUAAGGAAGACCAGUGGCGAAGGCGGGUCUCUGGACAGUUCCUGACGCUGAGGCACGAAGGCCAGGGGAGCAAACGGG